GUGUCAGCCGCCGCGGUAAUACGGAGGAUGCAAGCGUUAUCCGGAAUGAUUGGGCGUAAAGCGUCCGCAGGUGGCUGUGUAAGUCUGCUGUUAAAGCGUCUAGCUCAACUAGAUACAAGCAGUGGAAACUACACAGCUAGAGUGCGUUCGGGGCAGAGGGAAUUCCUGGUGUAGCGGUGAAAUGCGUAGAUAUCAGGAAGAACACCGGUGGCGAAAGCGCUCUGCUAGGCCGCAACUGACACUGAGGGACGAAAGCUAGGGGAGCGAAUGGGAUUAGAUACCCCAGUAGUCCUAGCCGUAAACGAUGGAUACUAGGCGUGGCUUGUAUCGACCCGAGCCGUGCCGUAGCUAACGCGUUAAGUAUCCCGCCUGGGGAGUACGCACGCAAGUGUGAAACUCAAAGGAAUUGACGGGG
rnacentral:rRNA from 1 species